UACAGAGGGGGCAAGCGUUGUUCGGAAUUACUGGGCGUAAAGGGCGCGUAGGCGGGGAUGUAAGUCGGGCGUGAAAUCCCCAGGCUCAACCUGGGAACUGCACUCGAAACUGCGUUUCUUGAGUAUCGGAGAGGAAAGCGGAAUUCCUGGUGUAGAGGUGAAAUUCGUAGAUAUCAGGAGGAACACCAGUGGCGAAGGCGGCUUUCUGGACGGUAACUGACGCUGAGGCGCGAAAGCGUGGGGAGCAAACAGG
rnacentral:rRNA from 1 species